UACAGAGGUCUCGAGCGUUGUUCGGAUUCAUUGGGCGUAAAGGGUGCGUAGGUGGCGAGGUAAGUCGGAUGUGAAAUCCCGGGGCUCAACCCCGGAACUGCAUUCGAUACUGCCUUGCUGGAGUACUGGAGAGGAGAUUGGAAUUUACGGUGUAGCAGUGAAAUGCGUAGAUAUCAAGUGGAACACCAGUGGCGAAGGCGAGUCUCUGGACAUUUCCUGACGCUGAGGCACGAAAGCCAGGGGAGCAAACGGG
rnacentral:rRNA from 1 species